GUAGCCAACGAACUUUAGCUAAUAUGUUUUCUCUAUAGUUACAAAUUAGACAACCCAGAACAUACAUGUUAGAUACUGUACUCUAUAGCUAGCUAGCUUGAUUGUUUGAUAUACGGUUCUUCCACAUACCUCUUUUGGACAGCUUUUCCCAGUUUUCUUGACCCUUACGAUUUGUAUAGGGUUUUCCCGCAUCCCGAAAUUGUCCAAUUGUGUGAGAGGCAUCUAUGAGAAGCCUGACUUCACUCCAGACGGUGAAGAAAAUUCCUUGAACCUCACCUCAUACCUGGACUAUUGACUGAAUAAAGGAAAAUGUUUUCAAGUUUUUACAUUUAAGUGCUGCACUAAACCGAGAGUGAUCUCCAAUGCAGUUCGUCUUGUUUGUUCAAGUCAACCAGUGUUUGUCUCUGCCCACCUGACCACUCUGCCUGUCCCUGAGCCUGCCUGCCGUCCUGUAAAUUUGCUCCACCUCUGGAUUACUGACCUCUGCCUGACCUGACCCUGAGCCUGCCUGCCUGUCAUCCCGUACCUUGGCCUCUACUCUGGAUUAUCAACCCCUGCCUGCCUUGACCUGUCAUUUGCCUGCCCCUGUUUUUUACAAUAAACAUUGUUGCUUCUUAC
ensembl:lncRNA